rnacentral:tRNA from 3 species
GACUGGAUAGUGUAGUUGGUUAUCAUGUAUCGUUAACACCGAUAAAGUCCUGGGAUCCAGCCCCAGUCUGGUCA